ACAUCAAUAUUCCAUCAAAGACAUUUAUUUGCAACACAAACAUGGUUUGUAACAUUUUACACAGGAAAGUUUGGACUGAAUGGAAAUGUCACAAAUUGUUCUCGGUCAUCUGUCCGGCAGUCUGUAGAAUGAAUUAGUUUACGUCCUAAGAUAGAACCACUGUCUUAGAGUCAUCAGACAAUAAUAUCACGGGCAUACGUUGCUGACUAAACGUAAACAACAGACAUCAAUGUUGUUCAACCUUUUAAAUGAAGCUUCUCAACAGUUGUAAUAAAUAUUUCAGAGAGCAGUUAAAGGAAAUGAAACCUAGAAUUCAGUUGCUUCUCAUGACAUGUCUUUAGUUGCUUCUCAUGACAUGUCUUUAGUUGCUUCUCAAGAAAUGUCUUCAGUUGCUUCUCAAGAAAUGUCUU